GUGAGCCACCGCGCUCAGCCCUCCUGGCACUUGUUGAGGCUCUGAGGACCCAAGGCGCCAGGAAAGCAGAGGAGACUCAGUAUCCAGUGCCUCCCAUAGGAAAUGGCUCCCAUUCCCCAAGUUAGUCCCAGAAGCUGGACCCUCCCUGAUUUGGUCCUCAUUCUCCCAGAGAAGCGUGUUCCGUGAUUGACUGUGUCCCCUCCCUCUGUCCUCUGUGCCUCUGCACUAAGUACCAGGAGGCCCUCGUCCUGUCCACACUCAGCCAUCGCUCGGCCGGAGAUACACAUGCAGCUCCUCUAAUCUUUCCCGGCAGCUCAGCCACCCCGCUCCCCUCACCCCCCAUUCCAUCCCUUGUUCCCCUUCCUCCUUAAUCAAAUUAAGGGAAAGAAGAGGAUUUAGAUAGGGUUGCUAAAUAUAUUUCUGUUCAGG
rnacentral:lncRNA from 1 species